CCCUUAGACGUUCUGGGCCGCACGCGCGCUACACUGACCAGUGCAACAAGCAUCCGUCCUUGGCCGACAGGCCCGGGCAAUCUUUGAACGCUGGUCGUGAUGGGGAUAGACUUUUGCAAUUUUUGGUCUUCAACGAGGAAUUCCUAGUAAACGCAAGUCAUCAACUUGCAUUGAUUACGUCCCUGCCCUUUGUACACACCGCCCGUCGCUCCUACCGAUUGAAUGAUCCGAUGAAUAUCAUGGAUUGAGGAUGCAAGCAGGUUCGCCUGUCUUCAUCUUCGAGAAGUGAAGUAAAUCUUAUCAUUUAGAGGAAGGAGAAGUCGUAACA
rnacentral:rRNA from 1 species